GUCGAAAAAAAGCAUUUUUUUCUCCGAAGGAAAAUUUCCGUAAGUAUGCGUGUGUGUGUGUGUGUGUGUGUAUGUGACAAAAAUAGUUGUACGCUCUGUAACUUCCGUAAAUUUCAACCGAUGGUUAUAAUUUUUUUUGCACAAAUUGGGUAGC